CCUACGGGAGGCAGCAGUGAGGAAUAUUGGUCAAUGGGCGGGAGCCUGAACCAGCCAAGCCGCGUGAGGGAAGAAGGUACAGCGUAUCGUAAACCUCUUUUGUCAGGGAACAAAGGCGGGGACUAGUCCCCGGAUGAGGGUACCUGAAGAAAAAGCAUCGGCUAACUCCGUGCCAGCAGCCGCGGUCAUACGGAGGAUGCGAGCGUUAUCCGGAUUUAUUGGGUUUAAAGGGUGCGCAGGCGGCCUGUUAAGUCAGCGGUAAAAGCCCGGGGAUCAACCCCGGCGAGCCGUUGAAACUGGCGGGCUGGAGGUGGAGAGAAGUACGAGGAAUGAGCGGUGUAGCGGUGAAAUGCUUAGAUAUCGCGCAGAACUCCGAGUGCGAAGGCAGCUUACUAAACUGCCACUGACAGUGAUGCUCGAAAGUGUGGGUAUCAAACAGGAUUAGAUACCCCUGUAGUC
rnacentral:rRNA from 1 species